AACAUCGAGCCGUCCUGCGUCACUAUGCCGACUGACUGUAAGUAUUCACAUGAGUGUAUUAUGAUUAUAUUAUGACUGUCUAUGUGAAUCAGCUGUUUAUAUCUGACUGAAUCAGUGAUUACUCCACAGCGAUCUGCGGCCCCGCAGCGAUUUGCGGGCUCCGUCGGUGAGAGCGCGAAACAUCAGCUGGGGCCACAUGGAAGUUCGAAUGAUAUAUGGCUCGACAUUCAACAAACGAUUCUAGCCGACCAGACAAAUGUGUUGACAAGCGGUAGUUUUGUACCUAUCGCGGCCACCGUGAAUCAGCGAUCCCCCGGACUGAGCCGACUAUCCAAGAAAAGGCCGGCGGGGAUAGAUGCGGCUAUAGCCGGCUCAUCGCUGACCAUAGAGCAGCCGCAAAUUCCUUAUAAAAAGACGCGCAAGGACGCCGCACAUAGUGCUAUAGCUCCGGAGAAUUUUAACCAUGUUAUACAGGCCGUCAUAA